rnacentral:rRNA from 1 species
UCUGUGAGAAGUCCAUUGAACCUUAUCAUUUAGAGGAAGGAGAAGUCGUAACAAGGUUUCCGUAGGUGAACCUGCGGAAGGAUCAUUGUCGAGAUCGAAAUAUAUCGAACGAUUUGAAAAACCUGUUAAUGAGCGGUGGCACUUGCCGUCGCGUAAUUGCCGUCUCCAAUGUCGGCCUUAUAAAUGGGGUCACAUUGAGGGGCGGAUGAAACUCAAUCCGGCGCAGCUACGCGCCAAGGGAAUAUAAAUAGACACGAGCCCGCAUUGGGUUUGGUGGCGUGGAGUGCUGUCGCACAUCACACGGAUCAAAAUGACUCUCGGCAAUGGAUAUCUCGGCUCUCGCNUCGAUGAAGAGCGCAGCGAAAUGCGAUACGUGGUGCGAAUUGCAGAAUCCCGCGAACCAUCGAGAAUUUGAACGCAAGUUGCGCCCGAGGCCAACUGGCCAAGGGCACGCCCGCCUGGGCGUCAAGUGUUAUGUUGCUCCGUGCCAGCUCCAUCUCACCCAACGGGUGUUUUGCAUGUGGGAGGGUCGGAUGUAGAGAGUGGCUCAUCGUGCCCUCGCGUGCGGUGGGCUUAAGAGCGGGUGAUUGUCUCGUUGGCCACAAAUAAACAAGGGGUGGAUGAAAAAUGUGCCUGUGUUGUUAUACCGGCUAAGCCUGAGAUGAGAUUACACCCAACGGAUGAUCCCAACCCAAGCAUUGAUCCACGGACGAUGGCUUGGAAUGCGACCCCAGGAUGGGCGA